CUGAGGUCAAGUUCCCGCCUUGUACACCAGCUCCCAAGGGGGCUCCCGGCCCCGCCCGGUGCGAGGAGGCUCCCCAAGCCACCAGGUGGUGCUGCUGCUCCGCGAGUCUCCAGUCCAGCCCCGCCCCCGAGUCUGGCCACGCCCCCAGCUCUGUGAUCCAGCUCUGGCCCCGCCUUCACCACGCCCCUAGGCGCGGGAUCCCGCUGGUUGGCCGCUUGGGCCCGCAUAGAAACAGCCGUAGAUGUGGGUGAGUGCCCUGCGUGGCCCAGACCCGCGGCUGCCCGGGGCAGGGAGGGCCUGCCUCUGCGUCGCUCAACAUUCGGCCUCUGGACGACUUCCGACAGCGUGCAAGCAGAGUUGGACACGGGGCCCAAUCCCAUGAUCCUGGGAUCAUGACCUGAGUUGGAAAACACAUUGGAUGCUAAAACGACCGAGCUGCCCUUAAGAUGAAAUUUGUGAAAGUUCAUCUUAGCCAGCAUUUUGGGAACUCAGUAGUGGGAGGUGCUUCAAAGCUGGUGGAAUCUGGGAGCCUCACAUGGGAGAGCAGCAGCCAAGGGCCUGGGGCUGAUCCCAGCACAUCUGCCCUCAGUGCUCACCAGAGGGCAGCGUGGAGUCGUGUGGAGCCCGGUCUCUGUUCCUGGCAAAGAUGAGGACCCCCUGAGCCCAGCCAUGAGCCGGCGCCCGACGCAGGAGCCCUCUGCACCCUGGCCAUGGAGCUGCUGACCCUGCCACCACCCCCCAGAGUGGAUGUAUCCGAGCCCCCCUGUCACGGAGAUGUGAACAUGGCUGCACACGCUCUUCCACUUGGUAGAGGUGAGCCUUCCCUCAGGGUG
rnacentral:lncRNA from 1 species